rnacentral:rRNA from 1 species
UACAGAGGUCUCAAGCGUUGUUCGGAUUCAUUGGGCGUAAAGGGUGCGUAGGCGGCGCGGUAAGUCGGGUGUGAAAUCUCGGAGCUUAACUCCGAAACUGCAUUCGAUACUGCCGUGCUUGAGGACUGGAGAGGAGACUGGAAUUUACGGUGUAGCGGUGAAAUGCGUAGAUAUCGUAAGGAAGACCAGUAGCGAAGGCGGGUCUCUGGACAGUUCCUGACGCUGAGGCACGAAGGUCAGGGGAGCAAACGGG